rnacentral:rRNA from 1 species
UAAUACGUAGGGGGCAAGCGUUGUCCGGAUUUAUUGGGCGUAAAGCGCGUGUAGGCGGCUUGGCAAGUCCGCUGUGAAAACUCGAGGCUCAACCUCGAGACGUCGGUGGAAACUGCCUGGCUAGAGUCCGGAAGAGGAGAGUGGAAUUCCUGGUGUAGCGGUGAAAUGCGCAGAUAUCAGGAAGAACACCUAUGGCGAAGGCAGCUCUCUGGGACGGUACUGACGCUGAGACGCGAAAGCGUGGGGAGCGAACAGGAUUAGAAACCCCGGUAGUCCUGGCCGUAAACGAUGUCAACUGGAUGGCGGGGGGUAACACCCACGCUGUCGAAGCUAACGCGAUAAGUUGACCGCCUGGGGAGUACGGCCGCAAGGCUA